rnacentral:tRNA from 1 species
GUUCCUGUUUUGGGAACAGGAGGUCACAGGUUCGAAUCCUGUUACCCUGA